GGAAUCUAAGAAUCCGUCUUUUAACUUUUAAUUAAAAAAACUAAGAACCGGUUUUUAAAUAUCUUAUUUAAAAAUCGAUUUUUAAUUUUUUAAGUUAAAAGUUAAGAGACGAAUUCUUAUAUUUC
rfam:Brassica napus, WGS project CCCW01000000 data, contig: 1431